AUGCCCAGUGAUUAUAAAAAGACGCGUUAUUCUGAGGAACAAAACCUGCUACCAGUUCUUUCUGUGAUCUCCUUCUCUGCUCUCCUCCUCCUACUUCUCCUCCUCUUCCUCUUCUUCCUCAAACCUGGUAGCAGGUCCGCUGACUGCGAUUAUGAGAGAUGAGGGCAU